GGGAGUACGGUCGGCAAGAUUAAAACCUCAAAGGAAUUGAACGGGGGCCCGCACAAGCGGUGGAGCAUGUGGUUUAAUUCGACGCAACGCGCAGAACCUUACCAGCCCUUGACAUCCCGGUCGCGGACUCCAGAGAUGGAGUUCUUCAGUUCGGCUGGACCGGAGACAGGUGCUGCAUGGCUGUCGUCAGCUCGUGUCGUGAGAUGUUGGGUUAAGUCCCGCAACGAGCGCAACCCCCGUCCUUAGUUGCUACCAUUUAGUUGAGCACUCUAAGGAGACUGCCGGUGAUAAGCCGCGAGGAAGGUGGGGAUGACGUCAAGUCCUCAUGGCCCUUACGGGCUGGGCUACACACGUGCUACAAUGGCGGUGACAAUGGGAUGCUAAGGGGCGACCCUUCGCAAAUCUCAAAAAGCCGUCUCAGUUCGGAUUGGGCUCUGCAACUCGAGCCCAUGAAGUUGGAAUCGCUAGUAAUCGUGGAUCAGCACGCCACGGUGAAUACGUUCCCGGGCCUUGUACACACCGCCCGUCACACCAUGGGAGUUGGUUUUACCUGAAGACGGUGCGCUAACCGAAAGGGGGCAGCCGGCCACGGUAGGGUCAGCGACUGGGGUGAAGUCGUAACAAGGUACC
rnacentral:rRNA from 1 species